rnacentral:rRNA from 1 species
CCUACGGGAGGCUGCAGUGGGGCAUAUUGGGCAAUGGGCGCAAGCCUGACCCAGCAACGCCGCGUGAAGGAAGAAGGCUUUCGGGUUGUAAACUUCUUUUCUCAGGGACGAAGCAAGUGACGGUACCUGAGGAAUAAGCCACGGCUAACUACGUGCCAGCAGCCGCGGUAAUACGUAGGUGGCAAGCGUUAUCCGGAUUUACUGGGUGUAAAGGGCGUGUAGGCGGGGACGCAAGUCAGAUGUGAAAACCACGGGCUCAACCUGUGGCCUGCAUUUGACACUGUGUUUAUUGAGUACUGGAGAGGCAGACGGAAUUCCUAGGGUAGCGGUGAAAUGCGUAGAUAUUAGGAGGAACACCAGGGGCGAAGGCGGUCUGCUGGACAGCAACUGAGGCUGAGGCGCGAAAGCGUGGGGAGUAAACAGGAUUAGAUACCCGGGUAGUC